rnacentral:rRNA from 1 species
UACAGAGGGUGCAAGCGUUGUUCGGAAUUAUUGGGCGUAAAGCGCGUGUAGGCGGCUUUGCAAGUCGGGUGUGAAAGCCCUCGGCUCAACCGAGGAAGUGCGCCCGAAACUGCAGAGCUUGAGUACCGGAGAGGAUGGCGGAAUUCCCCAAGUAGAGGUGAAAUUCGUAGAUAUGGGGAGGAACACCGGUGGCGAAGGCGGCCAGCUGGACGGAUACUGACGCUGAGACGCGAAAGCGUGGGGAGCAAACAGG